UGAAGAUAUCGCCUGCUACGUGUGCAUUAAACCUUUCAUUUCCAAAGCCGUUCUCAGGUCUCAGCGGCAGAAGGAACGGUGGCAGGGAAAUCCCACGGGAACCACACGGAUGCUUUGAGAACGUCUGAUGCACAGAGACGGCGAGACUCACCUGGCUAUUGUGCAUUCUCUGCUCAUUUCAAAGCACUUGAUGGCUCUAAACCGGCACAGUGUCCAAACUUGACAUUCAACCGAUGUUUCUGUGGCAACCAGAAGAGAGUGAAUCAUGUGGAUUAUGAGGAGGCCGACUGAACCGAGGAACUCGCUGCUUCAUCCGAGAGCAGAGCAGAUCAUACAUUUACU
ensembl:lncRNA